CUGCUGCCUUCCGUAGGAGUCUGGUCCGUGUCUCAGUACCAGUGUGGGGGACCUUCCUCUCAGAACCCCUACGCAUCGUCGUCUUGGUGGUCCGUUACACCGCCAACUAGCUAAUGCGACGCAUGCCCAUCCGCCACCGGAAUCAACCUUUGGCACCAACAGGAUGUCCCGUCGAUGCAUUAUGCCGUAUUAGACGGAAUUUCUCCCGAUUAUCCGGCUGUGGCAGGCAGGUUGCAUACGUGUUACU
rnacentral:rRNA from 1 species